GACGAACGCUGGCGGCGUGCUUAACACAUGCAAGUCGAACGAACAGGCCUUUUCGUUGGUACUCUAGUGUCGACCGGGUGAGUAACACGUGGGUGAUCUUCCCUUCCCUCUGGGAUAAGCCUGAGUACCUGGGUCUGGUACCGGUUCGGGCCGCUCUUUUGUGUGUGUUGUUGCAAGUUUUUUCGGUGUAUUUUGAGCCCGCGGCGUAUCAGCUUGUUGGUGAUUUAAUGGGCUACCAAGUCGCCGCCGGGUAGCCGGACAGUGGGGUUGAUCGGCGACAUUGGGACUGAGAGAAGGCACAGACAGCGACGGGAGGGAGCAGGGGGGAAUACUGCACGAGGAGCGCAAGGCUGAUGAAGCGACGCCGCGGGGGGGAUGACGGUCUUCGGGUUGUAAAAUACUUGCGUAAGGGACGAAGCGUGUUGUGACGGUACCUGGAGAAGAAGCAACGGCUAACUACGUG
rnacentral:rRNA from 1 species